AACAUCAUAUUCUAUAUUACAAAAACGAUUUGACUCAAAAUGUAUCAGAAGAGGUGAAAGAAAGAUAGUGGUCAUCUGCGCAAUUCG